AAAAGAAGAGGAUCAAUUUUAAGCUUCUAACUUAAAAAUUCAUAGGUUUAACUCCUAUUUUCUUUUU
rnacentral:tRNA from 1 species